UUCAGAUCGACUGGUGAUUGAUCGAGCUUCAAUGAUCUGAGUCGAAAACCUCAGCUACUAAACUAUAUAGAAGUCACAAAGCAGUGUUAGUUUACGUGCAAAGUCGACAAAGUUUCAGGCCCUGUCAAGGCCGUGUUGUGUGUUCCCCUGCCCGCCCGUUACCUGCCGCUAACGACGAUGCCAGCCAAGUUCAAAUGUAAUCGAGUUGAAAAAGAAACAGCGGAAGCGUCGAAUUUGCCUACAAUGCACGUCACCGUGGUGGAUCAAUGCGCGAUAGACGUCUGACUACUUCGCAUUAUUGCCCUGUUAUUAGUUGUCGACGAUAACCGGCACAGCACCCAAUUCUGCUCCUAGUAGGAACAUGGUCACGAUUUGACAUCACCGUCAUGCGGUUGUACGACGAGACAGACGAUACCAGAAGAGGAUUAAGUAGGUCAACAUCAACAAAAUACGCCUCAGGACUAUGCCUACAUUGGGCUUGUGCUAAUGUCUACGAUAACAUUUGGACUUGAAUGAUAUAGAAUACAGAAGUGCCUAAUUGGAUUAAUUUAUUUCUAUUAGUUGUUAUUGGUUAUUUAUUUAGUGAUAUGGUGAUUAAUAAACACAAAAAUACUGAUGUCACUU